GCUAAGUCAUGAGGGAUUAAACUGGGAAACCUGGCGUGGGUCCAGGCGCCUUCCAGGAGGCAUCCGGCGCGGCCCGGACGUGUUUCUACCCGGAACCACCCCCUCCAGGCCGGGGUGCCCUUAACGGGGCUAUACAAAGAGUCUGACACUGUUAUUGCCCACUGUGAACUCGUCAACUGAGAAGGAAUGAGAUGGUUUAUGCUGUGAAUAAAAUACAGUUGUGCUCUGAUGUAAAUCCCCUCAUCCUGGAGCAGCUGAGCAAGGUCUAAGGCAGGAAGAACCUUCAAGCAGGUCAUGGCUCCAUAAAAAGGAAUGAGAUCAUGUGCAGGAACAUGGAUGGAGCCAGAAGCCUUUAUCCUCAGCAAACUAACGCAGGAACAGAAAACCAAACACUGAGAACACUGCAUGUUCUCACUUAUAAGUGGGAGCUAAACAGUGAGAACACAUGGACAUGAAGAGGGGAACAACACACACUGGGGAUUACUUGAGGGUGUAGGGUGAAAGAAGAGAGAAGAUCAAAAAACUACCUAUCAGGUACUACACUUGUUACCUGGGUGGUGAAAAAAUCUGUACACACCAAACCCCAGAGACACACAGUUUAUCUGUAUAACAAACUUGCACAUAUAUCCCUAACCUAAAAUAAUAGUUUGAAAAAAGUGUGGUGUAUAUAUCAUAAUAUAUACACAUAAAUAGAUACACACACACACACACACACACACACACACACACACCAUA